rnacentral:rRNA from 1 species
UCGCCUGUUUAUCAAAAACAUAGUUUUAUGAAAACCAUAUAAAAUUUUACCUGCCCAGUGUAAUAUUAAAUAAAUGGCCGCAGUACCUUGACUGUGCUAAGGUAGCAUAAUCAAUUGGCUUUUAAUUAAAGUCUGGAAUGAAAGGGAUAAUGGAAAAUACCUGUCUUAAAUAUAAUUUAUAAAAUUUAUUUAUUAGGUGCAAAUACCUAAAACAAGAAUAAAGACGAGAAGACCCUAUGAGUUUUAAUUAAUAUUAAUAUCUUUUAUUUUUUAUUUUUUUGUUGGGGCGACAAAUUAACAUUUUAAACCUAAUUUUAAAAAAAUCAAGCGUAAUUGUAAAAUAAACUUAAACUACCUUAGGGAUAACAGCAUAAUUUAUUAGUAAGUUUGUGACCUCGAUGUUGGACUAGGAACUAUAUGGCUAACCGUUAAAAUAGAUUUGUUCUGUUCGAACAAUAUUAUCCUACGUGAUCUGAGUUCAGACCGGA